ACACAUUACAGACUCAUCUCAUCUCCUCAUUCAUUGUGUCACACUUUGCAGAUUGUCUCUCUGUGUAAGCUGUCACCCUCUGCACUGUCACACUCUAUAUAUAGGUAUGCUGUCACACUGAAUGCAGGUACACUGUUAUACUCUAGGUAUAGGUACACUGUCACACUGUAUGCAGGUACACUGUCACACUGAAUACAGGCACACU